GUCCCCCAGCUCUGCACGCCGUGCACUGAUUUGUCGCGGCGAUCGUGUCAGUGUGAGCAGGUGCAGAGCUGCAGGAC
ensembl:miRNA gga-mir-1601 gga-mir-1601